AUUUAUAUAGUUUAAAAAAAACAUUACAUUUUCAUUGUAAAAUUAAAUAACUGUUUAUAAAUA
rnacentral:tRNA from 1 species